AAAACCCAACUACACAGUGAAGGAACAUUAGUGUUAGGAAUACAGAAGUAUAUGCCAAAUACUAUAGUGCCUUUCUAACUAGUUGGGUGACUACUAGAGGUAUUUAAACCUUGCAAUGUAAACAUUGCCAGGACAACAAUGUUUUCACUUGCACGGUUAAAACAACAGGGACUUGGCACCAAGCUCUCUUAACUGAGAUGAAGUGGUAUGGGUGCCUAUUGGGUCCCUUUAAUAUUUAUUCUGGAUCUGAGUA